GCACAACGCGAAGAACCUUACCUAGGCUUGACAUGCAUCUCUAAGCGUGUGAAAGCGCGUGACCCUUCGGGGGAUUUGCACAGGUGCUGCAUGGCCGUCGUCAGCUCGUGUCGUGAGAUGUUGGGUUAAGUCCCGCAACGAGCGCAACCCUUGUGAACAGUUGCCAGCACUUAAGGUGGGAACUCUGUUCAGACUGCCCAGAUCAACUGGGAGGAAGGUGGGGACGACGUCAGGUCAGUAUGGCCCUUACGCCUAGGGCUGCACACGUACUACAAUGCCCAGCACAAUGAGAACCGAGACCGCGAGGUGGAAGAAAUCUAAAAAACUGGGCCCAGUUCGGAUUGGAGGCUGCAACUCGCCUCCAUGAAGUUGGAAUCGCUAGUAAUGGCGCAUCAGCUACGGCGCCGUGAAUACGUUCCCGGGUCUUGUACACACCG
rnacentral:rRNA from 1 species